rnacentral:lncRNA from 1 species
GACGUAAACAAACAUUUUCAAUGACAUUUCUCUCCUUCUUACCUAGCGACCUCUAUGCUGGUGGCGCAUUAAAUUUGCCUAUACAAAAUAAAUAGUCGAAGGUCGAAGAAUAUUUGCUUCAACGGAUCCGAAAGUUAUAAAAAUGCUUUUGACAUCCAAUUUAAAUUGAUACUAAGAAAAGAAGAUCUAGUAGGUAGCUUGAGCAAACUUCCAGUUCUGAUAUUUCAUAAAAAAAAUUGGUGUUGGCCUUUUAUAUUUUCCAAGAAAUUGUUCAUAUCAUUUUUCCUAGAAAUUCGAACCGUUGUUUUUUAAAAAUAGCAUCAAUAUUAAUUCAUAACUAACAUAGAAUCCUUUUAGUUUGGACAUUUCUAUUGAGAAUGGUAAAAAAUUAACAAUGAAAAUGAACCGUUUUGAACAAAUGGUAUUGGUAAUAUUUUUCAAUACUUGACAAUCAAUAUCAAUAAACAUGAUAGGGUAUUCUUAUGCUGUCAAACAACAUAAACAUGUUUAAUGAUGGAAAGAGAAAUUUAUGCAUUUAUGUUAAGCUUAAAAAAAACGAUUUUUUGAAAAAUAAUAUUUCGAACAGGGCGCUUGAUGGUGACUUGAACUAAACAUGGCGCACAAUGGUGGAUAUGCAACCUUAAAAAUUAGUUCACAAAUUUAAUACCGAGAUUUCUACAUACAUUUCCUAAAGAAUUCCUCGAGAAAUUCUUUUAAGAACUUUUUCAAGGAUUUUCUCACAAUUUUGUUUUGAUACGAAGCAUAAUUUAUUGAUACACGGCUUUUAGUUCCUGAGAUCUCAUGAAAUUUAUUUGCUGACUACUCGGCUAAAAUUUCCGAAAGUGCCAUUUUAGACGAAUACUUAGAGGGACUGAAAAAACGAGAAACAAAUCCUUGUGGUUAAGUUCCAUCAGUUUUGGAUGAAACUUGUUGUAAAAAAGUUAUGCAAAGUUCAUGAAAAAUAUCGAAUGAGUUCAUAUGACUGAACUUCUGAAGGUGUUCCCAAAAAAUACCUCAAGAUAUUGCUGAGGAAUCUCCUCCGAUGUUCGAGAUAGUUUUAGGAACGUUUUCUUGAAUAAUUGCUAGAAAACUAUCUUGAAGAAACUGAGGAAAUGAGAGGAGCAGAAUAGUGCUAAAGCCGCGAUGGAGCGAUCAUCCGUGUCAGAGCAAAAUGUCAGUCCUUCAGCAAUACUCGGCUUUAGAAAAGGAAGUAACCAAUAAGCAUUCGAACCAGCACGCAUUCAGCAUGAUAUUGUAUUUUUUGGUAAAAUCCAGAAUGCGAUCGCAGUUCUGUUUAGAGCUGCGAAUUUAUUUACACAGUUAGAGAAAAUUGCUCAGAACAAAGUAUAAAAACUCUCUUGAUUUCUUACACCACGUGCAUCAAAAUAAAUGAGACUUCACAAAGAUUAUCAAUAUUACUUGCCAAAUUAGAGUAACACACAUCAUUAUUGAUAAAAAUAAAACAGUUUUCAGUGAAAUUUCGACGUCAGAAAUAUUAGUUUCACCAGCUGUAUAACGUUUCAUUGAAGUUCGUCAAUAAUGACUUAGUGUGUAAGAGGUCAGUUUAGCCGCUUAUUUACAUCUGUCGAAGCCGCCCGGAGUCGUCACAGCCGCCGUCCCAUUGUUUCGACUUUGACAUUAGCUUCGCAUCGCGUGAGCAGGUGCGAAUACGGUUUAGUGCUGCGAAGUCAAUAUGCAUUUGCACGACAAUGCCUUAAAUGCUCGUCUGACUUAUGUCUACAAUUAGUGCUGCCUCAGACCAGAUUUCGGUGAAACAACAGGCCCCUUCGGAAAUGUUGCAUUUGAUUGUCAAAAAAUGUACACGCUCGUUCAAAUCUACUCAAAAGAGAAUAACUUUGACUCACUUUUGAACUUUCAUACUAGCUGUCAAAAGUGAGUAACUUUAUUUUAUCAAAGUGAGUAACUUGUUACUCAAUUAUGAAAGAAAACGACCUUACUCACUUUUGAGUAAACACUAACAUAUUUGACUCACUUUGUAACUGUCAAACACUUGUGAAAAUUUCAGCUUCCAAGAUUAGGAGUAAAUAUCGUUGUAAGAAAAUGUAUUAGUAGUAAAACAAGAGCUUAAAACCUGUAGAAUUACCUAAAACGAAUCAUGCAAGUUGUGUAAUAGUUGAUACAUUGUUACUGUUGUUAUUAAUCCGCUAUCAAGUGAAGCGAGAUCGGAGUUUUUGAAAGUAACCAAGUCCUGGUUUUGCCCGAACAACCGCAAGAGACAAGUUUAUACACAUCUUUCCGGAAAUGCUACUGGCUCGGUCUAACAUCCGGAUCAACAUCCAGCGAAUGAAUGUUUACCGGAAGAACAUUGAGUGCUUGAAUGCGCAGCAAAAUCGUUAAUUUCUGGUAAACACGGCCCACAGUUUACUGCAAACCUUUAGGUUUUCUUCCCGCUGGAAGUUGCCGCGUGACAUCAUAGUAAAUUAAUCCCCCAGAAUCCCCCUCCGGGGAUCUAUUCCAGACAAGCGAAAAAAUUGGACACAAACAUCACAAUUUUAUUAUUUACUUGUUAUAUAAUGUACUAUUCAUAUAUUUAUGUAUGAGAUAAUAAAAUAAAUGUUAUGUCUUUCGAUUUUUUUUUCUGAUUCUAUUUAUAAAUAAAAAUAAUAAAUUUAUUUCCAAAAUGUCAUUUCUAAAGUGAGUGACAUCUACUCACUUUCGCAAAUUGUUGAUAAAACGAAGUGAGUAAGUGUUACUCUAAUUUUGACAUUUGACAGUGUUACUCUAAAGAGAGUAACCAUGGCUUUACUCACUUUUGAGCAGUUCCACUUUGUUCCGAAGUGAGUCGAAAUCUACUCACUUUUGAGUAGAUCUGAACGAGCGUGUAACGCCUCAUUGAAGAACCAAACAAAAUCAACAUAUUUCCAUCUCCUUUGGCUAUCGUUUUUAUGAUCCGAUUCGAUCCGACGAUCUGAUGAUUGAUCAAGUUCAUAUCGGCGGCACUCCGCAUGGCAUUGCAUAUAGGCUAUGGAUGGAUCUGUUCUGGGCUCUGAUUUUAAGCCCUAUUUAAAGUGCGCUUUGUUUGCGUAGACAUAUUUCUGACGCGUUCAAUUUACGAACACGGUCAUAAGAGCUCUUGAAUAGGUUAUGGCAAAUUAUAAUCAUAU